AGCAUGUCUUAGAUCUGAAAUAUUUUUACGGGAACUAACACUUUCAAGCACGCUGAGUUCAAAUCCGAAAAGUUCCCGAUCCGUAGACCCGCAGUUUUCUCACAAAAUGCUAUUUUAUCUUCAAUAAUUUCACGACAAAUUUUUCAUUGUUCAACGACACGGAUCGAUGACGAUACACGAUUAUGUCACUCAAAAGGUGAAAAGGACCAAUUUCUAUUAAACAGUCUUCCUUUUAACAAAAGACCGGUUUUGCUCGAAUCAUUUUGAGUUAUGCAAUCUUAUGCGUGUUGG